rnacentral:rRNA from 1 species
GAUGAACGCUGGCGGCGUGCCUAACACAUGCAAGUCGAGCGAUCUUCUUCGGAAGAGAGCGGCGGACGGGUGAGUAACGCGUGGGUAACCUGCCUCAUACACAUGGAUAACAUACCGAAAGGUAUGCUAAUACAAGAUGAUAUAAGAGAUUCGCAUGGAUUUCUUAUCAAAGCUUUUGCGGUAUGAGAUGGACCCGCGUCUGAUUAGGUAGUUGGUAAGGUAAUGGCUUACCAAGGCAACGAUCAGUAGCCGACCUGAGAGGGUGAUCGGCCACAUUGGAACUGAGACACGGUCCAAACUCCUACGGGAGGCAGCAGUGGGGAAUAUUGCACAAUGGGCGAAAGCCUGAUGCAGCAACGCCGCGUGAGCGAUGAAGGCCUUCGGGUCGUAAAGCUCUGUCCUCAAGGAAGAUAAUGACGGUACUUGAGGAGGAAGCCCCGGCUAACUACGUGCCAGCCGCCGCAGUAAAAC